CAAACGACUCUCGGCAAUGGAUAUCUCGGCUCAUGCAUCGAUGAAGAACGUAGUGAAAUGCGAUACUUGGUGUGAAUUGCAGAAUCUCGUGAACCAUUGAGUCUUUGAACGCAAGUUGUGCCCGAGGCCUUGUGGCCGAGGGCACGCCUGCUUGGGUGUCAUGG
rnacentral:rRNA from 1 species